rnacentral:rRNA from 1 species
AUACGGAGGGUGCAAGCGUUGUUCGGAAUCACUGGGCGUAAAGGGCGCGCAGGCGGUUUGGUAAGUCAGAUGUGAAAGCCCACGGCUCAACCGUGGAAGUGCAUUUGAAACUGCCAGACUUGAGUACCAGAGGGGAAAGUGGAAUUCCCGGUGUAGAGGUGAAAUUCGUAGAUAUCGGGAGGAAUACCGGUGGCGAAGGCGACUUUCUGGCUGGAUUCUGACGCUGAGGCGCGAAAGCGUGGGGAGCAAACAGGAUUAGAAACCCUUGUAGUCC